AUCCAUUCAGUGACAUCUAAUAAAAUUGGGACAAUAUAGAGAAUAUUAGCAUAGCUCAUGCAUAAGAUAACAUGCAUAAAUAGUUAAAUAUACUAUUAUU